rnacentral:misc_RNA from 1 species
AAAAGGUCUUGUCGAAUCUUUUGGUUUUAUACCCAAUAGAUCUCGACUUCCUGAUCAUUCCCCUUUGUGCACUUUUGAAUAAUGCUUUGGUGGGUCGAAAGAUCCACCAAAAGUUUUUUCAAAAUAGCUUUAUUUUUUGUCUGAAAAUAAAAAUAUUUAAAAUUUUAAAUA